UGAUCCCCCACACUGGUACUGAGACACGGACCAGACUCCUACGGGAGGCAGCAGUGAGGAAUAUUGGUCAAUGGGCGCAAGCCUGAACCAGCCAUCCCGCGUGAAGGAAGAAGGCGCUAUGCGUUGUAAACUUCUUUUCCAGGGGAAUAAAAUUUUGUACGUGUACGGAAUUGAAGGUACCCUGGGAAUAAGCAUCGGCUAACUCCGUGCCAGCAGCCGCGGUAAUACGGAGGAUGCGAGCGUUAUCCGGAUUUAUUGGGUUUAAAGGGUGCGUAGGCGGACUAAUAAGUCAGUGGUGAAAACCUGCAGCUUAACUGUAGAACUGCCAUUGAUACUGUUGGUCUUGAGUGUGGUCAAGGUAGGCGGAAUGUGUAAUGUAGCGGUGAAAUGCUUAGAUAUUACACAGAACACCGAUUGCGAAGGCAGCUUGCUGGGCCAUUACUGACGCUGAUGCACGAAAGCGUGGGGAUCGAACAGGAUUAGAUACCCUGGUAGUCCACGCCGUAAACGAUGAUCACUCGCUGUUGGCGAUACACAGUCAGCGGCUAAGCAAAAGCAUUAAGUGAUCCACCUGGGGAGUACGGCCGCAAGGCUGAAACUCAAGGAAUUGACGGGGGCCCGCACAAGCGGAGGAACAUGUGGUUUAAUUCGAUGAUACGCGAGGAACCUUACCUGGGC
rnacentral:rRNA from 1 species